UACAGAGGUCCCGAGCGUUGUUCGGAUUCACUGGGCGUAAAGGGUGCAUAGGUGGUGGGGGUAAGUCGGAUGUGAAAGCUCGGAGCUCAACUCCGAAAAUGGCAUUGGAAACUACCCUGCUGGAGGUUUUGGAGGGACUGGAAUACUUUGGUGUAGCAGUGAAAUGCGUAGAUAUCAAGUGGAACACCAGUGGCGAAGGCGAGUCCUGGACAACCUGACACCUGAGGCACGAAGCUAGGAGCAACAGG
rnacentral:rRNA from 1 species